UACGUAGGGACCGAGCGUUGUCCGGAAUCAUUGGGCGUAAAGAGCGUGUAGGCGGCUAUUUAAGUCCUGCGUGAAAUCUUGCGGCUCAACCGCAAGCGGUCGUGGGAAACUGGGUGGCUAGAGUGCGGGAGAGGAGAGUGGAAUUCCUGGUGUAGCGGUGGAAUGCGCAGAUAUCAGGAAGAACACCCGUGGCGAAGGCGGCUCUCUGGAACGCAACUGACGCUGAGACGCGAAAGCGUGGGGAGCAAACAGG
rnacentral:rRNA from 1 species